AGUACCCCCAGUUUGGUGCUUGGGGCACUGGGAACUAUGGCUCUCCUUUUCCCUGGCAGAGUGAUCUUAACCAGCAGGCAACCGAAGAAAGAGGAAGCACUUUCCACCACAUCUUUGAAUGAAGUAGCCAUUGCUGCAGUGUUUUGUCCUUGACGACUAAAGCACAUUUGAAGCAGUUGCAAAGGGAAUAAGGUGAGCUACAAGAGAAGAAAUCAUCCCUCAGGACUGCCACCUCAUUUCUGACUUAUUUAAAAGAAUUGCAAAAAGAAUAUUCAGAUUGCAGAGAAACACCUGCUGGAAAAAGUAACUUAUGGUGUUUCCAAACUACCUGCUCUUCUGAUGGGAUCUUAAAGAAUUUUAGGAGCUGAGAAGCACUUGCAAGUAAUCAACACAAGAUUACAACAGGUUUUGGAGUUACAAAAGUCACCAGAGAAAUCUUAAAAUGCUUUAUACCAGGGGCUCCCAAACUGUGGUACGCGUACCCCUAGGGGUAUGCAAAACAUCUCUGAGGAUAUGCAGGAGAAAUUGUGUAAUAGCAGAUUUAAUUUUCAUUGUAAUGGCAUUUACAGGGUUAAAAUAUAAAAAGUAGGCUGCUAGGGGUACGCGGACAGCUGCUAAAUCUGGAUGGGGGUACGCAUAAGAAAAAGCUUUGGAACCUCUGCCUUAUACAAAACAUUUUAAAGACUCUCUUUUCAACUAAGCAUGAACUAUUUUACUUUUCUUUUCGAAUGUAAAUGUACAACAAAGACAAGUGGAAAGUGCUGCACCUGGGCAAAAAGAACCACCAACAAAUUUACAGGCUGGGGGAUGACCACCUCAGCAGCAGAG